rnacentral:rRNA from 1 species
GCAAGACCGUGAGGUGGAGCAAAACUCAAAAACUUGUCUCAGUUCGGAUUGUAGGCUGAAACUCGCCUACAUGAAGCUGGAGUUGCUAGUAAUCGCGAAUCAGCAUGUCGCGGUGAAUACGUUCCCGGGCCUUGUACACACCGCCCGUCACACCAUGAGAGUUGGGAAUACCCGAAGCCUGUGAGCUAACGUAAGAGGCAGCAGUCGAAGGUAGAAUCAAUGAUUGGGGUGAAGUCGUAACAAGGUACC